CUCGUUUGAUUCUGAUUUU
rnacentral:snRNA from 1 species